rnacentral:rRNA from 1 species
AACGCAGCGAAAGCUGCGNGAAUACCGCAUACGAUCUAUGGAUGAAAGCGGGGGACCGUAAGGCCUCGCGCGAUUGGAGCGGCCGAUGUCAGAUUAGGUAGUUGGUGGSGUAAAGGCCCACCAAGCCAACGAUCGUGUAGCUGGUCUGAGAGGACGACCAGCCACACUGGAACUGAGACACNNUCCAGACUCCUACGGGAGGCAGCAGUGGGGAAUUUUGGACAAUGGGCGCAAGCUGAUCCAGCAAUGCCGCGUGCAGGAAGAAGGCCUUCGGGUUGUAAACUGCUUUUGUACGGAACGAAACGGCCUGGGUUAAUACCCUGGGCUAAUGACGGUACCGUAAGAAUAAGCACCGGCUAACUACGUGCCAGCAGCCGCGGUAAUACGUAGGGUGCAAGCGUUAACAGGAAUUACUGGGCGUAAAGCGUGCGCAGGCGGUUUUGUAAGACAGUCGUGAAAUCCCCGGGCUCAACCUGGGAAUUGCGAUUGUGACUGCAAAGCUGGAGUGCGGCAGAGGGGGAUGGAAUUCCGCGUGUAGCAGUGAAAUGCGUAGAUAUGCGGAGGAACACCGAUGGCGAAGGCAAUCCCCUGGGCCUGCACUGACGCUCAUGCACGAAAGCGUGGGGAGCAAACAGGAUUAGAUACCCUGGUAGUCCACGCCCUAAACGAUGUCAACUGGUUGUUGGGUCUCUUCUGACUCAGUAACGAAGCUAACGCGUGAAGUUGACCGCCUGGGGAGUACGGCCGCAAGUUGAAACUCAAAGGAAUUGACGGGGACCGCACAAGCGGUGGAUGAUGUGGUUUAAUUCGAUGCAACGCGAAAAACCUUACCCACCUUUGACAUGUACGGAAUUUGCCAGAGAUGGCUUAGUGCUC